CCUACGGGCGGCAGCAGUGGGGAAUAUUGGACAAUGGGGGCAACCCUGAUCCAGCCAUGCCGCGUGUGUGAAGAAGGCCCUCGGGUUGUAAAGCACUUUCAGUGAGGAAGAACGCCUGGUGGUUAAUACCCAUCAGGAAAGACAUCACUCACAGAAGAAGCACCGGCUAACUCCGUGCCAGCAGCCGCGGUAAUACGGAGGGUGCGAGCGUUAAUCGGAAUUACUGGGCGUAAAGCGCGCGUAGGUGGCUUGAUAAGCCGGUUGUGAAAGCCCCGGGCUCAACCUGGGAACGGCAUCCGGAACUGUCAAGCUAGAGUGCAGGAGAGGAAGGUAGAAUUCCCGGUGUAGCGGUGAAAUGCGUAGAGAUCGGGAGGAAUACCAGUGGCGAAGGCGGCCUUCUGGACUGGCACUGACACUGAGGUGCGAAAGCGUGGGUAGCAAACAGGAUUAGAUACCCCAGUAGUC
rnacentral:rRNA from 1 species